rnacentral:rRNA from 1 species
UACGGAGGGUGCGAGCGUUGUUCGGAUUCACUGGGCGUAAAGGGUGCGUAGGCGGUCGGGCAAGUCUGAUGUGAAAUCUCACAGCUUAACUGUGAAACUGCAUUGGAUACUAUCCGGCUAGAGGAAUGGAGGGGAGACUGGAAUACUUGGUGUAGCAGUGAAAUGCGUAGAUAUCAAGUGGAACACCAGUGGCGAAGGCGAGUCUCUGGACAUUUCCUGACGCUGAGGCACGAAAGCCAGGGAGGCAAACGGG